rnacentral:rRNA from 1 species
AGAGUUUGAUCCUGGCUCAGAUUGAACGCUGGCGGCAUGCCUUACACAUGCAAGUCGAACGGCAGCACGGACUUCGGUCUGGUGGCGAGUGGCGAACGGGUGAGUAAUACAUCGGAACGUGUCCUGGAGUGGGGGAUAGCCCGGCGAAAGCCGGAUUAAUACCGCAUACGCUCUGUGGAGGAAAGCGGGGGAUCUUUCGGGACCUCGCGCUCAAGGGGCGGCCGAUGGCAGAUUAGGUAGUUGGUGGGGUAAAGGCCUACCAAGCCGACGAUCUGUAGCUGGUCUGAGAGGACGACCAGCCACACUGGGACUGAGACACGGCCCAGACUCCUACGGGAGGCAGCAGUGGGGAAUUUUGGACAAUGGGCGCAAGCCUGAUCCAGCAAUGCCGCGUGUGUGAAGAAGGCCUUCGGGUUGUAAAGCACUUUUGUCCGGAAAGAAAACCUCUGGGUUAAUACCCCGGGGGGAUGACGGUACCGGAAGAAUAAGCACCGGCUAACUACGUGCCAGCAGCCGCGGUAAUACGUAGGGUGCGAGCGUUAAUCGGAAUUACUGGGCGUAAAGCGUGCGCAGGCGGUGCUGUAAGACCGAUGUGAAAUCCCCGGGCUUAACCUGGGAACUGCAUUGGUGACUGCAGCGCUGGAGUAUGGCAGAGGGGGGUGGAAUUCCACGUGUAGCAGUGAAAUGCGUAGAGAUGUGGAGGAACACCGAUGGCGAAGGCAGCCCCCUGGGCCAAUACUGACGCUCAUGCACGAAAGCGUGGGGAGCAAACAGGAUUAGAUACCCUAGUAGUCC